rnacentral:rRNA from 1 species
UACGUAGGGCGCAAGCGUUAUCCGGAAUUAUUGGGCGUAAAGAGCUCGUAGGCGGUUUGUCGCGUCUGCCGUGAAAGUCCGGGGCUCAACUCCGGAUCUGCGGUGGGUACGGGCAGACUAGAGUGAUGUAGGGGAGACUGGAAUUCCUGGUGUAGCGGUGAAAUGCGCAGAUAUCAGGAGGAACACCGGUGGCGAAGGCGGGUCUCUGGGCCGAUACUGACGCUGAGGAGCGAAAGCGUGGGGAGCGAGCAGG